AGCUUUGCUCUGUGUAUAUAGAAUGAAACUGAAUAUUAUCAAGAAAAACCUGCAAGAACAAUGUGUACAUCAAUUUCUAGUCACUUAAUCCAAACAUUUUUCCAUGAUAAAAUAUGACUAUACAAACCUUACAGCACCAAUGAGAGAGAAUCAGACAAACAAUGAAUUCAAACCUGGGUUUUGGUUUUGUCUCCACCACAUCUAUCAUUCAACCAGCUAACAAUAUCUUUACGAACAAUCUCAAUGUUGUCGUCGGGUUCACCGAACAACAUCGAAUGCAUCAUCCCGUCAUAGAUCUUCAAUGUCUUAUCUUUGCUCUUAGCAUGUUCGUACAACUCUCUGCUCACUUCAGGAUCAGUCACAGCAUCUGCACUUCCGUGCACAAUAAUGAAGGGAAUGCUAACAUCUUUUAGCUUCUUCCCUAAGUAAUCAGUAACCCUAAGUAGCUCCAUCACUGUACCUAACCGCGGUUUCUCAUUGUACCUCAUCGGAUUCCUCUUGGCAAUCGGUUUCUUCUCUUCAACUUUGAUCGACUUCUCCAACAGAUCUUCCGUCGGAACAAUCGCCCAAGUCGGCAAGAAUCUUGAGAUCAUAAUCAGAAACUGAUCAACCGGCCAUUUAGGUCUCACCUUGUCCGAGAUUUUACACAUGGGAGCAACCAAAACCGCUCCAUCAAACCCUAACGGAUCAGCGAAUUGGAUCAAAAGACAAAUCGCACCGCCCAUUGAUUCUCCGAAGAGAAACCGAGGUAAGCCUUGAAAUUUAGGGUUUUGCUUAAUCGAAUUAAAGAAAGAGAUGAUGUCAUCGACGACUAGAUCUACGGAGGGAACAUAGGCGCGGACACCGUCAGAUCGGCCAUGACCUUCGAUGUCGAGAGCAAAGCAAGCGAAACCCAUCUGAGCAAGAAAAAUGGGAGUGGACUGGAAAGUCCAGCUGACGUCAUUGCCGUAGCCAUGGACCAUGAAGAUGAGACCACGUGGCGGAGAAGAGGAAGAGGGAAGCCAUGAACGAGUGAAGAGGUUGAGACCUCGAGGGGAAGUGAAGAAAGAUUUGGAGCCGAUGAUGCCUUUGAGAUUAAAGUAAUCUUCUUCUGAAGUCUCUCCCCAGAAGUUGAUCUCUGUUUCAAGCUGUUGAUCAGACAUCGAGGAGUGGUUUUUUUUUUUCUGAGAUGUUGUAUUGUUGUGUUCUGUUGGUUUUGAUGAAAAUGUUUGUGGCGUACUGGCGUUACUCACUGUGCUGCUUU